rnacentral:rRNA from 1 species
UGAGGAAUAUUGGGCAAUGCCCGCAAGGGUGACCCAGCAACGCCGCGUGGAGGAUGAAUGUCGUAAGAUUGUAAACUCCUGUUAGAGGGGACGAAUAGUACCGGUUGGACCGGUAUAUGACUGUACCCUCAGAGAAAGCCCCGGCUAACUACGUGCCAGCAGCCGCGGUAAUACGUAGGGGGCAAGCGUUGUCCGGAUUUACUGGGGGUAAAGGGCGCGCAGGCGGGAUAAAAAGUCAGUGGUGAAAUCCUACAGCUUAACUGUAGAACUGCCUUUGAUACUUGUAUUCUUGAGUUCGGGAGAGAGAGACGGAAUUCCAGGUGUAGUGGUGAAAUACGUAGAUAUCUGGAAGAACACCAGUUGCGAAGGCGGUCUCUUGGUCCGACACUGACGCUGAGGCGCGAAAGCGUGGGGAGC